rnacentral:tRNA from 1 species
AAGAAAGUGGCAGAGUGGUUAUGUGACUAGCUUGAAACUAGUAUAUAGGGGUUCAAUUCCCUUCUUUCUCG